AUGCUGAAGGAUACAGGAGCUUGGUCUGGCCUUCAGCUGUGGAGAGACCACACCGUAUUCCAAAUGGGAAGUUGUGGCUUACGUGACAAGAGGCCUGCAGAUGCAUUACAAGUGAGAAGAACAGACUUCAGGAGGCAAGAGUGCAGGGCAUGCUGUGACACCUGACAGUGGCUAAAUAAAUAAAGGGAAAAUGUUGACUGUGUAGCUUGA
rnacentral:lncRNA from 13 species